AGCAGCCGCGGUAAUUCCAGCUCCAAUAGCGUAUAUUAAAGUUGUUGCAGUUAAAAAGCUCGUAGUUGAAUUUCGGGAUCAGUGGGUCGGUCGUGCCACUGGUAUGCACUGGCCCUACUGGUUCCUCCUUCUUGAAGAACUGUAAUGCCAUUAAUUUGGUGUUGCAGGGAAACAGGACUGUUACUUUGAAAAAAUUAGAGUGUUUAAAGCAGGCAA
rnacentral:rRNA from 1 species